rnacentral:rRNA from 1 species
GGAUUAGAUACCCUGGUAGUCCACGCCCUAAACGAUGUCAACUAGUUGUUGGGUGGGUAAAACCAUUUAGUAACGUAGCUAACGCGUGAAGUUGACCGCCUGGGGAGUACGGCCGCAAGGUUAAAACUCAAAGGAAUUGACGGGGACCCGCACAAGCGGUGGAUGAUGUGGAUUAAUUCGAUGCAACGCGAAAAACCUUACCUACCCUUGACAUGUUCAGAAUCCCGGAGAGAUUUGGGAGUGCCCGAAAGGGAGCUGGAACACAGGUGCUGCAUGGCUGUCGUCAGCUCGUGCCG